CCUACGGGAGGCAGCAGUGGGGAAUAUUGCACAAUGGACGCAACCCUGAUGCAGCAAAGCAGCGUGAAGGAAGACGGUUUUCGGAUUGGAAACUUCUGUUCUUAGUGAAGAAUAAUGGCGGUAGCUAACUCAGAAUCCCCGGCUAACUACGUACCAGCAGCCGCGGUAAUACGGCGGGUGCCAGCGUUAUCCGGAAUUACUGGGUGUAAAGGGAGAGUAGGUGGCAAGGUAAGCGAUAUGUGAAAGCCUUAAGCUUAACUUAAGGAUUGCAUAACGAACUAGCUAGCUAGAGUACAGGAGAGGAAGGCGGAAUUCCUAGUGUAGCGGUGAAAUGCGUAGAUAUCAGGAAGAACACCAGUGGCGAAGGCGGCUUUCUGGACUGAAACUGACGCUGAGGCUCGAAAGCGUGGGUAGCGAACAGGAUUAGAUACCCUUGUAGUC
rnacentral:rRNA from 1 species